UUCUGAAUGAGCCUGUAAGAGGCCUUCCGGAAUUAAAAGUGAGGAGAUGUGUAGCAACGACCUUAAGAGACUAUAUAUAUUAGCAACUAGGGUUUUGAUCACUGCAGUCGCGCCGGAAGAAACCGAGGAAGAACGAUCUACAGAGAAAGUAAACUCCGUGCACAGCCGUCGACAUGGGCCGACUCCACUCUAAAGGUAAGGGAAUCUCAGCAUCUGCUUUGCCGUAUAAGAGAUCACCCCCAAGUUGGCUCAAGACAACCUCCCAGGAUGUUGAUGAAUCCAUCUGCAAGUUUGCGAAGAAGGGUUUGACCCCAUCUCAGAUAGGUGUCAUUCUUCGUGACUCUCACGGAAUCCCACAGGUCAAGAGUGUUACUGGAAACAAGAUCUUGAGAAUCUUGAAAGCUCAUGGUCUUGCUCCUGAGAUCCCUGAGGAUCUAUAUCACCUAAUCAAGAAAGCAGUUGCUAUCCGCAAGCACCUUGAGAGGAACAGGAAAGACAAGGAUUCCAAGUUCAGGUUGAUUCUUGUAGAGAGCAGAAUCCACCGUCUCGCUCGUUACUACAAGAAGACCAAGAAGCUCCCUCCCGUCUGGAAGUAAUUUGGAGUUUAUUUGAGCAUCUGGAGUUCUUAGAUACCACUUCUUCUUGUUGCUAAGGUGAGACCGACGAGCAAGAGUGAUUAUCGGACCAGUGCUAUUGGGUUUUUGGGCUUCUAUCGCUUUUACCGCUUUUAUCUUUAUUGGGCCUUUGGACUUUUAUCGUUUAUGUUAUUCCUAUUUCAGACUUUCGGUUUAUGUCGUAUUUUAUAUUUCGGAUGUUAUCGAUGUUGGGCUUUUAGGCCUUUUGGUAUUGUAUUGACUUUUAUAUUAUGGUGGAAAUUAUUAUUAUUAUUUUAUU